rnacentral:rRNA from 1 species
UGGGGAAUAUUGCACAAUGGGCGGAAGCCUGAUGCAGCGACGCCGCGUGGGGGAUGAAGGCCUUCGGGUUGUAAACUCCUUUCGACAGGGACGAAGCUUUUGUGACGGUACCUGUAUAAGAAGCACCGGCUAACUACGUGCCAGCAGCCGCGGUAAUACGUAGGGUGCGAGCGUUGUCCGGAAUUACUGGGCGUAAAGAGCUCGUAGGUGGUUUGUCGCGUCGUCUGUGAAAUUCCGGGGCUUAACUCCGGGCGUGCAGGCGAUACGGGCUGACUUGAGUGCUGUAGGGGAGACUGGAAUUCCUGGUGUAGCGGUGAAAUGCGCAGAUAUCAGGAGGAACACCGAUGGCGAAGGCAGGUCUCUGGGCAGUAACUGACGCUGAGGAGCGAAAGCAGGGGUAGCGAACAGG